rnacentral:sRNA from 1 species
AGCAUGGAGAGAAGCCUGGAGCCACGGGAACCUCUGGAUGGUGUCAGGUGCUCUGCGGCCCACGGGGGCGGGGAAAGGACUAGUGAGCAGAAACUCCUCCUCGCCUUAUCAGGCAGCAAGCCAAUCACUGAGGUGAUGGGUUUUGCAAGGGAGAAAAGAUUUUAUUCACAAGGCUGCUGUGUGAGAAGAUGGGAGAACAAACCUGAAAUCCACCUCCCCAGAUAUAGGGCUUGAAGGCUCAAAUUACACAAGAUGAAUCUUCUUAUCUUCUGGAUUAACCUAUCUUUGGAUGUUUCCCAAAGAAGAGUAUGAAGAAUCUAAAGAUGAAACAUUAAAUGAAUCAUAAUUAUUUGUUAAUUUUGAUGUGUUUUAUUAGAAUUGGGACUUUAGUAGUCGAACAGAAAAACUACCUCCUUUAUAAAUUAAUAGUAUUUCUUUGCUACUUAAUAAUACCUUUAGUUAAAUAUUGUUACCAUAUGCAUGCAAGUGUUAUUUUCAGAAUUAAUACUUAUUCUACAUACUUUUAAAUUAACCUCAUACAUAAAAUUUAAUUAGCAUAUCAAUGCAAUUGCAUGAAUUUUAUAAUUACCAGCUUUUCCAUUUUAUUAAUGAGUCUACAACUGCUGCUUUGUUCAUCUCUUCUUUUAGAUGUAACUUUUAAAUUAAACUUGGAUUCAUUUAAAUUGUUUUUGGCUUCCUCUAAACUUCUCAAUUAUUUUAUGGAAAAAACCUUAGAAUUUACAUAGCAACGAUUAUUUUGGGUGUUAAAACUAAGCUAAUGAUUAUUUAAGCCAUCUUUUCAUCCUAAGGAAAAUUAGUAAAUGUAUGCAUUUAUAAUAUGGAUAUAUUAUAAUGGACUGUAUUAUAAUAUGGAGUAUUUUAGGAAAAUUUUUGGGCAAAGAUCAGAGGAGAUGCCCUUUACCUUGCCAGGCCCCUAAGUAAUACAUUAUUUUUAAGUCAAUGAAUGAGAGGAUUAGAAUUCUGAAAAUCAUUUAGAAGUAUUGUUUAAUAAGUCCUUUUUUUCUACUCAACAUUAAAUAGUAAUCAACUUUUACCUCCGCCAGUUUUUCUGCUUUUUUGCUGGUAUGAUCUCUCUUUCUAAAUUGAAUCAAAGACCUAGGUGGAACUGGAAACUUAGGAGGGAAAGACAAAAUGAGGCUUGUUCAUGAUCAAAUUCUGUGUACUCUAGUUGCUUCU